GACGUAGGGGGCCAGCGUUGCUCGGAAUUACUGGGUGUAAAGGGUUCGUAGGCGGUGUGGCAAGUCGGGAGUGAAAUCUCUGGGCUCAACCCAGAGUCUGCCUCCGAAACUGCUGUGCUUGAGUGUGGGAGAGGCGCGUGGAAUUGCAGGUGUAGCGGUGAAAUGCGUAGAUAUCUGCAGGAACACGCGUGGCGAAAGCGGCGCGCUGGACCACUACUGACGCUGAGGAACGAAAGCUAGGGGAGCAAACAGG
rnacentral:rRNA from 1 species